GAUGAACGCUGGCGGCGUGCCUAAUACAUGCAAGUCGAGCGAACAGACGAGGAGCUUGCUCCUCUGACGUUAGCGGCGGACGGGUGAGUAACACGUGGAUAACCUACCUAUAAGACUGGGAUAACUUCGGGAAACCGGAGCUAAUACCGGAUAACAUGUUGAACCGCAUGGUUCAACAGUGAAAGACGGUUUUGCUGUCACUUAUAGAUGGAUCCGCGUCGCAUUAGCUAGUUGGUAAGGUAACGGCUUACCAAGGCAACGAUGCGUAGCCGACCUGAGAGGGUGAUCGGCCACACUGGAACUGAGACACGGUCCAGACUCCUACGGGAGGCAGCAGUAGGGAAUCUUCCGCAAUGGGCGGAAGCCUGACGGAGCAACGCCGCGUGAGUGAAGAAGGUCUUCGGAUCGUAAAACUCUGUUAUUAGGGAAGAACAAAUGUGUAAGUAACUAUGCACGUCUUGACGGUACCUAAUCAGAAAGCCACGGCUAACUACGUG
rnacentral:rRNA from 1 species